ACAGGCAACAUUGAGAUCGGCUAGCGGCUUUGGAAAAUCUUCGAGAUGUGUAGCUUUUCAUUGUGAUUGCCUUCAUAGAAUGCCCAAAAUUGAUGUGCGAUUUUCUUCUACCGUGCGGUGCGCUUGUUAACGGUGUAGCAUCAAGUCAUCGUGUGACCAUUGUGGGAUUAGUGCUUCUCAAUGUGUGCUCUAGAGAAUGUGUCACACCAUCGACAAUGUCAACACGAACGGCGCUGGGCGCUGGUCUGCGAGAAGAUAAACGCUGUCUCAGAAAAAGGAGAUAUCUCAGUACUGGCAACAUCAUCUGCCUCGUACUACACCCGACAAAUUCUAAACUGUGUUCCUGUUGGUGUUCUAACAUUCGCAGUCUUCUUUUUCUGUGCUGUCACCUAAAUUGAGUAGUGUAUUCGACCAUCAGCCGAGCGUUCAUGUAGAUGCCGACUUUUCCUCGUGGGCCUCGGCGACGACAGCCAUGGCCGACAGUGCCGAUUAACAACAGAACUUGCUCAACAUGUGGCAAGACGUAUAGCAGUGUGAGCAACCUGCGAAAGCACGUGCUUACUCAUACCGGAGAGAGAUCCUUUGUGUGCACUUGUUGUGGCCGGAGAUUCCUACACAAGCAUCAUCUCGAAAGGCACCUCCAAACUCUGCAUGCUCGUGCUCUAGAGACGUUUGAAAAGAGCAGAGCAGGGGUACCAGUUGGGGGGGCACCACGGGCUGUGGAAUGAUUGCCCCUCCCCCCCCUCCCCCUGAAGACACCAGCUGGACAGUGCACUGUUGGGAAAUGGAGGGGCAGUCAGUCGAGCUUUGCCCAAGCAAGAGUUUCCAUUUUACAGUGUCCCUUCUCUUGACUACUUCCUGACUGGUGCCAACAACGAGCAGUCUCCGUCAUCAUCGACGGGCCUGAAUUCUACAUCUGUCUCGGACGUCCUAGUAGCAAGCACACGGCAGGCAUCAAUGUCACUGGCACAGCCACCAAAGGAAUUUGCCUGCACCAUCUGUGGCCGCAAGUUCAGCCUCAAGUGCAAUCUGAACCGGCACAAUCUGGUGCACACAGGCGUGCGCAACUACGGCUGCGAGGUGUGCGGACAGCGAUUUGUGUUGCGACAGCACCUCAAGAAGCACCUCGAGAGGCACGCCAAGGAGUGCUCUGAUCAGAGGCUCCCGUUUCUUGCAGGCUUCUUUAAGUAAGCACCCCAUGCACUUCGAUUCUUACCACUACCAGGAAUCAAACCUUUGACCUCAUUCUUAGCAGCAGAAUGCCGCUGAGCCACCGUGGAACUUGGAGUUAUACACAGUCACACUAUUUGUUUUGCAACUUCAAACUGUAUUCAUUUUGCAAGUUAUGUACAACUUGUGUAAAUUACUGCCUUGCUAGCACCAUCUGGUGAGUGAUUAGAGGUUUUUGAUAAUUCUUGUAGGUACAGCAAAAGAACUACCAUGUGCACUUUCACAAUGCAGGACUUAGUGGAGUCCAGUGCAUUUUGGCAGAGUAGCAUGAAGUAGCACUGUACCUUGGUCAUAUAUGCUACCGCCAUUACUAAGCACAUGAUGCAUUUUUGAAAAAUAUUACAACUGCUUGUCCAGUAAAAUUUUGUCUUUAUUGUUUUUAUCCAUUCAUCGCUUUACUUUGUGGAAAAUUCUUCCUCUGGAUUUGUCCCAAUCACCUCUGAAGUCAAACUGCCGCUGCAGUGUUUUUGCCUUAGGAAAUGUGUAACAGCAACAAAGCCUUUCCUUUCUUUUUCUCUCUUUUUCUUUUUUAAGUUUGUUUCUCUUGGCAGUACGAAACUAGAAACAGGUGCUGACAGUGACAGAAAAUGGUUCAGUCUUCAAAACUUUACCAUUCCAUGCCCUUUUCAAGGUCAUCCACUGUUGGUCUUUGAAAGCAUGCAAGCUCCACCAAUUUAUAAUGUGAUAGUGAACACAACAAAAUGGUUUUCAUGAGUUUUCACAUUCAUGAAAUCAGCUGGUAACUAUUUGUGGCAAUGAGCAUAUUGUUGUAAUUUUGCUAAGUAGCAUUUGUGCCGCUCAGCUUAAACUGCAUGGUCAUCGUCAAACUUAACAUAUGCUUUGUGCCUCUUUCUGUUUCUUUUUUCACCUGCAUCCAGCUUUUAUUAUUAUUAUCCCAAUGCAUUGGAAGUCCUACACUGGCCCGCUUGCCUUAUACAGCUUGCAUCUAUUAAUAACGCCACUAGAAGUGCAUCUUGCUUGCCUGGAUUGUGGUGGCUGAUUAAUGCAGGGCUUGCACUCUGUUCAUGGCUAGAAUCAAUGUGUUAUGUGUGCUGAUAAAGCGAAAAGUCUUUAGGGUUUAUUUUCGUGCAUUCUUAUAUAAUUUAUGAAACAUCUUUCACUACAUAAUUUCAUAAAUAUGUCGGAAGCGAUGCCUUAGAAAUGUUUGCAUGAAGUCUUUGUGCUAAUAUAUAUUUCAAGCAGGCAUGCAAUACAGGGUUGUACAGGGAGAUGCAUAUUUCAGUUAAAACUUUAGAAACAGGGUCUUGCGCUUACCGCUGCUCUGUUCUUGCUCAAAUUUUGCAGAAAGAUCACGUUUAAGGGUCUACGUCAUUCAAUGUAACACUCUGGACUUACCUGUUUUAGAGUGCAGAUCUUAGGUGCCCAUUCCUGCGGCAAGCAUUGGCAUUGGCACCCUACCUCGUAAACGAGCAAAACAAGCACAGCAAAAGAUGAGAGCGAAUACAGAGCAUGGCGGGGGAUGAAAGAAGUGGCAGCUGCGAGGAGGAAAGCAGAGGAGGAGGGUAUGGUGAAAGCGAGAGAAUAAAAGCUUAGGGCCACGCACGACGGGUUUUGCGACAACAAUGGCUACAAGAUGGCACCAGAGUAGCACGCGUCUGUAUGGAAACAAAGUGCUGCAUGAACAGGGAUUGUCUGCGAUGGCUGCUUUGAAUCGCACCCAUGCAUCACCCACGCGCUUCCUCUCACGACCUACAGAUUAACAAAGCAGUCACGCCACACUUCACUCUGUUUGCAACGUGCCAUGAGACAGAUUGUUUGCCUCACCUAAUGUAUAGAGAAAUUAAAACAUGUAUACCUAUAGCUACACUCAAAGUUCACAUUAGGGAGUAUCGUAAUCAUCAGUGCUUUUUUUUUUAAUGAAAGAACUUCAAUGUUGCCUUCGUUUACGAAGACGCAAGCUGCUGCCGAGACAAGGCUAGCAUAAACUUGUGUAGGCACGUAUUGGGAGCUGCAAAAAGCAGCUGUUCAGGGAGGUUUGUCUCAUAUUACCCACUCCUCUGGAACACAUGGCAACCUUCCCUGAACAGCUGCUUUCUGCAGCUGCCAGUAGGCAGCGACACAAGUGUGUGCUAGCGCCGUCUCGACAACAGCUUGCAUCCUCAUAAACAAAGGCAAAUUGCGGUGGGGGGGGUUCCCUUAAAUAACAGGCACGCAACUGUCCCAAGUGUUACAUAGAACAACAUAGAGCCUAAAACGCGAUUUUUCUGAAGAAUUUGAGCAACAACAGAGCAGCAGUGAGCACAAAACAAUUUUCUAAGAUUUAACCAAAAUAUGCACGUCCCUGUAGAUGUUUCGUAUUUUUUUUAUUUGAUGAGUGAGCGAGCAAAUAAAAAUCUCUUGCACAAGCUUCCCUGGUAUUUGGUCACUGUGCAUUGUUUCUCUGUAUACAUACAAGCACCAUUAUGUUGACCUUUUUUUAUCCAUUUGCAUGGUGCUAGCCAGACAAGGUCAGUGCCAUAUGCUGGGGCCACAUCCUGCGCCGUGCAUUAAGUUGUCAGCUCCCAUGGCACUUGUGCAAGAUUUUGAAGAACAGUUUCUGCCAGUAGAGCUCAAAUGACUGCAUUUAUUACUGCUAGUGACCAAGUUGUGCCCAGUGUUAAAACAUAAAAUGGGCUCCAAGCCGCAGUUCGAGAACUGUGGUGCCCAUAAUAUUUCUACACAUCAAAUCAAUAAAACAAUGCAGUGAAAUGGCAUCAUAACGGUCUAGACUCUGUGGCAGCAUUUGCUAGGGCAUAAACUAUUUGUUCAGCCUUACAACCCAUGGUAUGUCAAUA